rnacentral:rRNA from 1 species
AGAGUUUGAUCCUGGCUCAGGAUGAACGCUGGCGGCGUGCUUAACACAUGCAAGUCGAACGAAGCACCUUGAUUUGAUUCUUCGGAUGAAGAUCUUGGUGACUGAGUGGCGGACGGGUGAGUAACGCGUGGGUAACCUGCCUCAUACAGGGGGAUAACAGUUAGAAAUGACUGCUAAUACCGCAUAAGACCACAGCACCGCAUGGUGCAGGGGUAAAAACUCCGGUGGUAUGAGAUGGACCCGCGUCUGAUUAGGUAGUUGGUGGGGUAACGGCCUACCAAGCCGACGAUCAGUAGCCGACCUGAGAGGGUGACCGGCCACAUUGGGACUGAGACACGGCCCAAACUCCUACGGGAGGCAGCAGUGGGGAAUAUUGCACAAUGGGGGAAACCCUGAUGCAGCGACGCCGCGUGAGCGAUGAAGUAUUUCGGUAUGUAAAGCUCUAUCAGCAGGGAAGAAAAUGACGGUACCUGACUAAGAAGCACCGGCUAAAUACGUGCCAGCAGCCGCGGUAAUACGUAUGGUGCAAGCGUUAUCCGGAUUUACUGGGUGUAAAGGGAGCGUAGACGGAGUGGCAAGUCUGAUGUGAAAACCCGGGGCUCAACCCCCGGACUGCAUUGGAAACUGUCAAUCUAGAGUACCGGAGAGGUAAGCGGAAUUCCUAGUGUAGCGGUGAAAUGCGUAGAUAUUAGGAGGAACACCAGUGGCGAAGGCGGCUUACUGGACGGUAACUGACGUUGAGGCUCGAAAGCGUGGGGAGCAAACAGGAUUAGAUACCCUGGUAGUCCACGCCGUAAACGAUGACUACUAGGUGUCGGGCAGCAAAGCUGUUCGGUGCCGCAGCAAACGCAAUAAGUAGUCCACCUGGGGAGUACGUUCGCAAGAAUGAAACUCAAAGGAAUUGACGGGGACCCGCACAAGCGGUGGAGCAUGAGGUUUAAUUCGAUGAUACGCGAGGAACCUUACCCGGGCUUGAAUUGCAGAGGAAGGAUUUGGAGACAAUGACGCCCUUCGGGGCCUCUGUGAAGGUGCUGCAUGGUUGUCGUCAGCUCGUGCCGUGAGGUGUCGGCUUAAGUGCCAUAACGAGCGCAACCCCUCUCCAUAGUUGCCAUCAGGUUAAGCUGGGCACUCUGUGGACACUGCCACCGUAAGGUGUGAGGAAGGUGGGGAUGACGUCAAAUCAGCACGGCCCUUACGUCCGGGGCUACACACGUGUUACAAUGGCAGGUACAGAGAGCCGGUCGUAUGCAAAUACGAUCCAAUCCUUAAAGCCUGUCUCAGUUCGGACUGGGGUCUGCAACCCGACCCCACGAAGCUGGAUUCGCUAGUAAUCGCGCAUCAGCCAUGGCGCGGUGAAUACGUUCCCGGGCCUUGUACACACCGCCCGUCAAGCCAUGAAAGCCGGGGGCGCCUGAAGUCCGUGACCGCAAGGAUCGGCCUAGGGCGAAACUGGU